rnacentral:pre_miRNA from 1 species
GAUUUCAAAUGAAAACAUCAUCAACAACAAAGUUGUAUAACUCAUCAGUAUCUAUAACUUUUAUUUUGGUUAUUUCUUCAUCCAACAAAGUGAUAGUAACAUUGUUCACACAAAUUACAUAUCUAUGUUAUAGUUUAUAAACUAUAUAAGAGAUGUAUAUUUUGUGAACAAUGUUACAGAUCACUUUCUCGGAUGAAGAAAUGACCCAAAUAGAAGUUAUAGUUCUUGAUGAGUUAUACCACUUUGUUAUUGAUGACUUUUUCUGUUAAAAUC